CUGCACCGAGAGAGAGAAGAUCUAAGUGAUCAAAGUUCCACUGAGCACAUCCAAACACCGAAUUCCUGGAUCAAGAGAACCACGGUCCCGUCUGACACUUGGCGAUCCUCGUGUCAGAAGGGACCGUUCACAAUUAGUAUCGAGAAUUAAGAUACUUCUUGUUUCAAGUAUUCCUGAGAAUUCUAAUUACUUGUCAACGAAAUAUUGCGAAUUGGAGACUUCCAGAUGAAGGCGGAUCGGGGCAAGGAGUAUCAUCCUCCCGUUAAGCAAGAAAAGCAGCUAAAGCAGAAGCAGACGCAACACCUGUCUACAGACAUGCACAGCAAGAUGAAUUUGAUAUCACCAGCAGCGAUGCAUCACACAGUGGCAUCAGGAGCGUUUCAGGAAAGCAAGCUGAUCAAGCACAGGCACACCGACGCAAGAGACUUUUCUCAUGAGAAGCCGUUCGAGCGCGUUUUGGUGAGGAUCUGGAUUUCAAACUCAUGUUUGAACAUAGUUGUAUUCUUCCUGACCCAUCAGCAACCUUGAUCUGUGCUCAUCUGACUGAUCGUCUGAGUACUGCCUGAGCACUUCACUCUUGUGUAGGUUGCCAGCUACUUCAUCGAAAAGCAAGCAAAGGCUGAGGCCAUGCGAUGUCUGCAGGGACCUUGAUCCCUUCGACAUAGGAUUUACUUUCUGGGAGGAACCUUUUUGGAUUGGAUUG
rnacentral:lncRNA from 1 species